rnacentral:rRNA from 1 species
GACGAACGCUGGAGGCGUGCUUAACACAUGCAAGUCGAACGAUGAAAUGGAGCUUGCUCCAUGGAUUAGUGGCGAACGGGUGAGUAACUCGUGAAUAACCUGCCCUUAAUUUUGGAAUAACCCAGGGAAACCUGGGCUAAUACCGGAUAAGUAAACCUGUGGCAUCACAUGGUUUUGGAAAGUUUUUCGAUUAAGGAUGGAUUCGCGGCCUAUCAGCUUGUUGGUGAGGUAAUGGCUCACCAAGGCGACGACGGGUAGCCGGCCUGAGAGGGUGAACGGCCACACUGGGACUGAGACACGGCCCAGACUCCUACGGGAGGCAGCAGUGGGGAAUAUUGCGCAAUGGACGAAAGUCUGACGCAGCGACGCCUCGUGAGGGACGAAGGUCUUCGGAUUGUAAACCUCUUUCAGCAGGGACGAAGCGAAAGUGACGUUACCUGCAGAAGAAGCACCGGCUAACUAUGUGCCAGCAGCCGCCGUAA